AUUAGACGAAUCAUCUGGAAAGAUGAAUCAAAGAAGGUAAUAAUCCUGUAGUCGAAAAUGUUGUCUCUCUUGAGUGGAUCCUGAGUACGACGGAGCACGUGAAAUUCCGUCGGAAUCUGGGAGGACCAUCUCCUAAGGCUAAAUACUCUCUAGUGACCGAUAGUGAACCAGUACCGUGAGGGAAAGGUGAAAAGCACCCCGGAAGGGGAGUGAAAUAGAACCUGAAACCGUGUGCUUACAAGUAGUCAGAGCCCGUUAAUGGGUGAUGGCGUGCCUUUUGUAGAAUGAACCGGCGAGUUACGAUUUGAUGCAAGGUUAAGCAGUAAAUGUGGAGCCGUAGCGAAAGCGAGUCUGAAUAGGGCGUUUAGUAUUUGGUCGUAGACCCGAAACCAGGUGAUCUACCCUUGGUCAGGUUGAAGUUCAGGUAACACUGAAUGGAGGACCGAACCGACUUACGUUGAAAAGUGAGCGGAUGAACUGAGGGUAGCGGAGAAAUUCCAAUCGAACCUGGAGAUAGCUGGUUCUCUCCGAAAUAGCUUUAGGGCUAGCCUCAAGUGAUGAUUAUUGGAGGUAGAGCACUGUUUGGACGAGGGGCCCCUCUCGGGUUACCGAAUUCAGACAAACUCCGAAUGCCAAUUAAUUUAACUUGGGAGUCAGAACAUGGGUGAUAAGGU
rnacentral:rRNA from 1 species